UUUGAUGAAAGCAACGGUUGUCAAAUAUAAUACGGCUAUGAAUUCCCAGCGCUUGUUCUGGAGUUGGCCUACAGGAAUGCUACAAGCAAAUCGAGAGUUGGAAGUCAUGGAACCAACAAUCAACGAGAUAGGCACGAGAUAAUAUUUGGAGCUGAUCGUUCGUCAGCGUCGGAGCCAAUAUUUACCCACAGUGGAGCCUGACGACGAUGGAGAAAUCAUUGACGAUGCUCUAAUCAAUAAUUUACGUCAGCUGGAUAUUGAUGCAUUCG